GCCAGCAGCCGCGGUAAUACGGAAGGUGCAAGCGUNAAUCGGAAUUACUGGGCGUAAAGCGCACGCAGGCGGUCUGUCAAGUCGGAUGUGAAAUCCCCGGGCUCAACCUGGGAACUGCAUCCGAAACUGGCAGGCUUGAGUCUUGUAGAGGGGGGUAGAAUUCCAGGUGUAGCGGUGAAAUGCGUAGAGAUCUGGAGGAAUACCGGUGGCGAAGGCGGCCCCCUGGACAAAGACUGACGCUCAGGUGCGAAAGCGUGGGGAGCAAACAGGAUUAGAUACCCUGGUAGUCCACGCCGUAAACGAUGUCGACUUGGAGGUUGUGCCCUUGAGGCGUGGCUUCCGGAGCUAACGCGUUAAGUCGACCGCCUGGGGAGUACGGCCGCAAGGUUAAAACUCAAAUGAAUUGACGGGGGCCCGCACAAGCGGUGGAGCAUGUGGUUUAAUUCGAUGCAACGCGAAGAACCUUACCUGGUCUUGACAUCCACAGAACUUUCCAGAGAUGGAUUGGUGCCUUCGGGAGCUGUGAGACAGGUGCUGCAUGGCUGUCGUCAGCUCGUGUUGUGAAAUGUGGGGUUAAGUCCCGCAACGAGCGCCACCUCUAUCCUUUGUUGCCAGCGGGUCGGCCGGGAACUCANAGGAGACUGCCAGUGAUUAACUGGAGGAAGGUGGGGAUGACGUCAAGUCAUCAUGGCCCU
rnacentral:rRNA from 1 species